UACGAAGGGUGCAAGCGUUAAUCGGAAUUACUGGGCGUAAAGGGUGCGUAGGCGGCUGGUCAAGUCCGAUGUGAAAGCUCCCGGCUUAACUGGGAAAUUGCAUCGGAAACUGAUCGGCUUGAAGGUGGGAGAGGGUAGUGGAAUUCCCGGUGUAGUGGUGAAAUGCGUAGAUAUCGGGAGGAACACCAGUGGCGAAGGCGACUACCUGGCCCACUCUUGACGCUGAGGCGCGAAAGCUAGGGGAGCGAACGGG
rnacentral:rRNA from 1 species